UACGUAGGGGGCAAGCGUUGUUCGGAAUUACUGGGCGUAAAGGGCGCGCAGGCGGCUCUGAAAGUCAGAUGUGAAAGCCCCGGGCUUAACCUGGGAACUGCGUUUGAUACGGCAGGGCUAGAGUUCGGGAGAGGAGAGUGGAAUUCCCAGUGUAGAGGUGAAAUUCGUAGAUAUUGGGAAGAACACCGGUGGCGAAGGCGGCUCUCUGGACCGAUACUGACGCUGAGGCGCGAAAGCGUGGGGAGCAAACAGG
rnacentral:rRNA from 1 species